GACGAACGCUGGCGGCGUGCUUAACACAUGCAAGUCGAACGGAAAGGCCCUGCUUUUGUGGGGUGCUCGAGUGGCGAACGGGUGAGUAACACGUGAGUAACCUGCCCUUGACUUUGGGAUAACUUCAGGAAACUGGGGCUAAUACCGGAUAGGAGCUCCUGCUGCAUGGUGGGGGUUGGAAAGUUUCGGCGGUUGGGGAUGGACUCGCGGCUUAUCAGCUUGUUGGUGGGGUAGUGGCUUACCAAGGCUUUGACGGGUAGCCGGCCUGAGAGGGUGACCGGCCACAAUGGGACUGCGAUACGGCCCAGACUCCUACGUGAGGCAGCAGUGGGGAAUAUUGCACAAUGGGCGGACGCCUGAUGCAGCAACGCCGCGUGCGGGAUGACGGCCUUCGGGUUGUGAACCGCUUUCGCCUGUGACGAAGCGUGAGUGACGGUAAUGGGUAAAGAAGCACCGGCUAACUACGUG
rnacentral:rRNA from 1 species